CAUGAGGAGAGAGGUUGCUCUAUGUAGAAAAAUUCUAAAAAUGUAUUUCCUUUUUAAAAACAUUAAUAUUCAGACUGUAACUGCAUAUGUUCAUAACUACAUAUGUGCAAAGUAACUUCAAUCUCUGUGCUAAACUUUGCUUACCGAUAGUGCUGAGAGUGUUUCCUUGGGACCUGUUGACAAUCAUCAAUGAUUGCUAACGCUGAUGUCAAAAACACGCUUUAACUGUUUAAGGACGUAGGGAGAACUAAGUGGAAGGCCAGACUCUAACAAGGACCCCUGCGAAGGGCGCGGCCAGGUAUUUCCACAGGCUUCUCGCUAUCUGUACAGGUUUGCUCUUCCUGACUAUCUGGCUCCAGGAAGCCAUCAACCAACCACAGUCUGCAACUCUGGAUUUGUAAAAAAGUGUCAAUGCGUUCGCAAGUGUUUUGCAAUCAGCCAGUAUCCUGGUGAAUUACGUAAUCUCGGCUUUACGAUCAGGUCCGCGGGAUCUUCUGAAAGCGGACUUUCCAUUCCCGGGAGGGGCACCGGAACUAGGAAAUACCUCUCGAGCCAAGUGCAGGUGGGUGCCGGGGACGGUCCUACAGGUGCGAGCUCAGAGAGACAGCAGCGGAGCUGCGUUGCCGCGGGCCACGCGUCCGGGAAGUGUGUGGCACCCCGGGUUGCCCGAGAUUGGGUACAGCGUGACAUCUGCUCGUCAGACUCGUGGGUCCCCCUGGGAAGUGGUCGCCCCUGGCAUCACCCCCCAGGACUGUCACUCCGUGCGAUCGCAGAGCUCCCAGCUGAGAACUACUAGCCUAGCACCCAGGAGGCGUGGAACAACACUCUUGAAUAAUGAUCCGACACCUAUCUGUCAGGAACCACGUCGCAGCACUGAGGGAUUUCCGCAGACCUUAGCCCCGGUCUCCUCUUGCUUCUGCUCAGUUAACCUGACCUGAACCUCCCUCCUCAUGAACAGCUGGGUCUCUCUGUGUAAUUCAGCCCAGCCCAGCGCGGCAGCCGGGACCAGCAACAAACUGAGGCGGAGAGAUAAUUCUGCAUUUUCUAUCAGCCAAUCAAAUUCGAAAAGCAGGACGAGCUAGAUUACUUUUAACAACUUACUUUAUUGGAGCCAAUUAUCAGUCUCUCGAACAUGACCACAUGUAAUCAAGAUAAAUGAUCGGUAGCCACUCACUGGACAGCACAGCUCUGGCAUGAGACCUCGAGUCCCUCGAAAGUCCGGGUGAGUUAGAGGCCACUAGGCAGCUGCGAGGAGGUGACACGAGCCCCUUUCCAUAACUGCUCAGCCGCAUUGUUGCAAACAGACUACGUGGGAAAGGAAAGGACAGAAGAGGCUAGUAUGGGGGGGCAGAGAGAGAGUCAUGGUUUAGAUACAAACGUCCAUGUCCACUGUUAAAGUAAAUAAACGCUCACAUGUAUGUAGA